rnacentral:lncRNA from 1 species
CUUGAGCCAUAAAAUCAGAACAGAGACAAUCAGGGUCACUAAGUCUGAUCCAGAGGGCCCUCGACAAACAGCUCUACCCAAGGCAAAAUUGCUACUUAGACCAAACCAUCCAAAUUUGUUAAACACCUGGCAUUUUGCCAAGGACUCUGUGGCUAUGAAGAUGAAAAGAACCAAGGCUCUUCAUGCAUUCAAGGACCAGAUUCUGUCUGGCCCCCAGGCCAGGCCAUGGAUUUAUUUUGGAUCAGAAAUGCUGGUCUCAGAAGACUCCAGGGAGACUCGGAGUACAGGGAUUUGCUGGGUGCCAGGGCAGGUGGCAUUCCAAGCUGGUGGGACCCAGUCGGACUGGUUGGUGAAUCUACGUAUAGGAAUAGCAACAAAAGAUAAAAAUCCUUGGAAACUAAGGGAGGAAGCAGAAAAUUGGUCUUUAUUUGCUGAUCUGUCUAUUCUUGGGAAAUGGAAACACAGAGGCUGCACCUUUGGAAGUGUGACUGGAAGACUUAACUGGGAAUUCAUAAGUUACAUAUUUAGUUCCACUCACUGAACUCAGCAUAUGAUCAAUGACAUUGAUUUUGUGGUGCUGGGGAUUGAACCCAGAGCUUUAUGCAUGCUAAACAAGUAGUCUAUGACUAAGGUAUAUCCCUGGGCUCUAUAUGCAUCCAUUAUUAGUCAAUAAAUAAACAAUAACAAUAUUAGCAGUCAAUGAAUUUGUCACCACCAGUAUGAACUAUUAAUAUUUUUAUGUCAUCUCACAGUGUUGCAGAUACUACAAAAUUUAAUCUGUGUUCAUCACUACAGUAUAUUAAAUUAUGCUAGCUAUCAUACUCACCGUUAGAUCUGGACAUUUAGUGUAUUGCUAAGAAAGCAAUAUAUCAUGAAACUAGUAUAUCAUGAAACUUUUUGAAUAUUUGGAUAAUACAGUAAUUAUAGACCAAUAUAUUUCUUUAUGUAUUCAAAUUCAUUAUUGUUUGAGAAACAAAAAUAGAAAAGGGAUCCUGACAAAUGACAUAGAUAAUUCUCAAAAGAGGAUGUACCAGUGCCCAACAUCUAUGUGAAAAAUGCUCAGCAUCACUAAUCAUCAAAGAUAUGAAAAUCAAGAUCACAAAGAAUUAUUAUCCAACCACAAUUAGAAUGGCAUCAAAGGGCAAAACAAUAGCAGAUUCCAGUGAGGACUGGAGAAAGGAAAACUGUAUUGCUAGUGGAGGUGCAAAUUAGUAGAGUCAUUAUGGAAAGCAGUAUAGAGAUUCCUCAACAACCUAGGGUAGAACUAUUGUAUGAUCUAGCAAUCCCACUACUGAGUAUAUAUUCAAAGUUAUUUUUCCCUUUUUUUUUUUUUUUUUGGUACCAAGGAUUGAACUCAGACCUUGCGCUUGCAAGGCAGGAGGCAAAACCCCUGAGCUAAAUCCCUGGCCCCAAAGUCAUUAAUAUCAGUAUGUCAAAAAGGCAUCUGUACUUGCAUCUUUAUUGCAGCACUAGCCACGAUAUCCAGGAUAUAGUCAACUUAGGUGUCCAGUGAAUGUAUGCAUAAAGAAAACAUGGUAUAUAACUUGUACACACAAUAGAACACUACUGUUUAGCCAUAAAAAGCAACAUGGACAGCAGUGGAGGACAUCAUGUUAAGUGAAAUAAGUCAGGCAUUAAAAGACAAAUAUUACAUGUUCUCACUUAUAUCCAGAUGGAAAAAGUUGAUCUCAUAUAAGCAGAGAAUAAAGUACAAUACUGGUUACCAGAGCCUGGGAAGGGUUUGGGGGAAGAAAAGAUGGAGACAAGACAGUAAAUGUGUGCAGGGGUGCAGUUGUAUAGGGCAAAUAACCUCUAACUUUCUGUAGCACAGUAGUUGGCAAUAAUUGAUUGAAUAUUUCAAAAAUAGCUAAUUUGGAAGAUCUCAAACGUUCCCAGCACAAAGAAAUGUCAAAUGUCUGAGGUG